rnacentral:rRNA from 1 species
UACGUAGGGCGCAAGCGUUGUCCGGAAUUAUUGGGCGUAAAGGGCUCGUAGGCGGUUUGUCGCGUCGGGAGUGAAAACACACAGCUUAACUGUGUGCUUGCUUCCGAUACGGGCAGACUAGAGGUAUGCAGGGGAGAACGGAAUUCCUGGUGUAGCGGUGAAAUGCGCAGAUAUCAGGAGGAACACCGGUGGCGAAGGCGGUUCUCUGGGCAUGUCCUGACGCUGAGGAGCGAAAGUGUGGGGAGCGAACAGG